GGUGCAAGCGUUAAUCGGAAUUACUGGGCGUAAAGCGAGUGCAGGCGGUCGCGUGUGUCGGGUGUGAAAGCCCAGGGCUCAACCUUGGAAUUGCACUCGAAACUGCGUGACUAGAAUGUGGUAGAGGAAGACGGAAUUCCACGUGUAGCGGUGAAAUGCGUAGAUAUGUGGAGGAACACCAAUGGCGAAGGCAGUCUUCUGGGCCAACAUUGACGCUGAGGCUCGAAAGCGUGGGUAGCAAACAGGAUUAGAUACCCUGGUAGUCCACGCCGUAAACGAUGAGAACUAGACGUUGGUUGACAUAGUCGACCAGUGUCGCAGCUAACGCGUUAAGUUCUCCGCCUGGGGAGUACGGCCGCAAGGUUGAAACUCAAAG
rnacentral:rRNA from 1 species